rnacentral:rRNA from 1 species
CGGAGGAUCCAAGCGUUAUCCGGAAUCAUUGGGUUUAAAGGGUCCGUAGGCGGUUUUGUAAGUCAGUGGUGAAAGCCCAUCGCUCAACGGUGGAACGGCCAUUGAAACUGCAAGACUUGAAUUAUUAGGAAGUAACUAGAAUAUGUAGUGUAGCGGUGAAAUGCUUAGAGAUUACAUGGAAUACCAAUUGCGAAGGCAGGUUACUACUAAUGGAUUGACGCUGAUGGACGAAAGCGUGGGUAGCGAACAGGAUUAGAUACCCUGGUAGUCCACGCCGUAAACGAUGGAUACUAGCUGUUCGGAGCAAUCUGAGUGGCUAAGCGAAAGUGAUAAGUAUCCCACCUGGGGAGUACGUUCGCAAGAAUG